CUCUUCCCUCCACAAACCUCUUCACUGAUCAUUUUUGCUGUUUGUGUCACUUCAAGGCUACUAUGCCUUCGUUCCUAAUUCAUCUGUUCUCCGUCUUGGACUAAAUUCCCCUGACUUCAUUUUACCAAGGCUAAGACAAAUGCCUGUCAGCCAAUAGGGCUGAUUACAUGGAGCAAAAAGAGCAGAUUCCUUUUUUAUUGUACAUCAUAAUUAUGCAUAAGAGUGGAAUUCAUUAUGCCAUAUUCACAUGCACAUUAUGCAAUUUGAUCAAUCUCAUUCCCCAGUAGUUUUUCUUUCCCUUCCAUCCUGCCUCCCCCAUCUGAUUGAUUGCUCCACUCUACUGAUUGAUCUCCCUUCCAUUAAUGUUUUAAUUAUUACAUUACAAUUAUACAAGUGAGAUUCAUUGUAUCAUGUUCACACAUGGACGUAGCAUAGUUUGGGAGAUUUCAUUCCCCAGGACUUCCCUAUGACCUCCCCUCCUCCCUCCUCCAACCUCUUCCCCUAUUAGUUUCCUUCCUAUUUUCAUGAGAUCCCUUUUCAAUUCCUUUGUCUUCUUCUUCUUUUCUUCUCCCACAUGUGAAAGAAAACAUUUGACCCUUGACUGAGUCUGGCUUAUUUCACUCAGCAUGAUGUUCCAUUCAUUUACUAGCAAAUGACAUCAUUUCUUAUUUGUGGCUGAGUAAAACUCUAUUGUAUAUCUAUACACCACGUUUUCUUUCUUUUUAAAAAUAUUUUAUUUAUUUCUAUUCUUUAUUAAUCUGUUGAGGGACACCUAAGCUGGUUCCAUAACUUGACUAUUGUGAAUUGUGUUACUGUGGACACUGAGACGCAUAGAUCACUAUAGUAUGCUGAUUUUAGAUCUUUGGAAUCAAAUGAGCUGGAUGGCUGGGUCAUAUGGUAGUUUCAUGCCUCAUCUUUUGAGGAAUCUACCACUGUUUUCCAAAGUAGCUAUACUAAUUUGCAGUCCCACCAACAGUCUAUGAAUGUACCUUUUCUCCCACAUCCUCACC
rnacentral:lncRNA from 1 species